ensembl:lncRNA
CCGAGUGAGCCCCUGACGGGAUCUCAGCCGGCCCGAGAAAGCGGCGGACCGGCUGCCGCCGCCCCCCCCCCCCCCCCCCCCCCCCCCCCCCCCCCCCCCCCCCCCCCCCCCCCCCCCCCCCCCCCCCCCCCCCCCCCCCCCCCCCCCCCCCCCCCGCUGCCCAGUCUGCUGGGGUAAAAGCCGAUCGCAGCCGCUGCCUCAAAACGAAAUAAAAUCGCUUUAUUUCAGGUGCUUCUCGCUUGACGACAGAAAGGUCGUCGCAGCCCAACGGGAGCCUGCAUUGCCCGAGCGGCCCACAGAGCCGGCACCUCCCCCUGGCUGAAGUGGUAGCACCCAGCCGGCUCGCCGGCGCCGGGGGGCGGGCCGGGCCCCGGCCUGAUGCAUUAUUCAUGAGGGGCAGGCCCGCAGCUCAUUACCGGGGUCCGCCGGCCUGGGGCGGUGCCUGUGACGUCACUGUGACGGCUUUUCCGGCGUUCUUAAGGGCGCCGCGGCGGCUCCGAGCCGGCAGCGGGGCGGGGGCGCCCCCCCCCCCCCCCCCCCCCCCCCCCCCCCCCCCCCCCCCCCCCCCCCCCCCCCCCCCCCCCCCCCCCCCCCCCCCCGGCUCCGAGCCGGCAGCGGGGCGGGGGCGCCCGGGGGGCGGCUGGAGCCCAGCUGAGGAGACCGGCUCGCCUGCCCUGUGGAGCCCCCACCAGGAUUUAAACAAGCAGCAAGCGCAGCAACCACAGCCGCCGCCUCCUCAGCUGAGCCAGAAGAGGAAAGAGUUUAAGCAGCAGCUCAGCAGCCCAGCCCAGCUCGGCAGCAGCCACCCCCUGAAUAACCACCACCCCCCAGACUAUCAUCACCACCCCCCUCAGCAGCAGCAGCAGCAGCAGUUCAGCCACCCCACUGACAAGUACCAGCAGCAGGAGCACAGGCAACAGCAGCAGCUCCUCAGCGCUCACCCCCCGGAGCCGCCGCGGACGGGGGACCACUCGCACCACCGGCCCGUCGGCCACGCCGAGCACCAGGGCGGCGCGGACAGGGGGGGUUUCCGACCCGUCGGCCCCGCCGAGCACCAGGGCGGCGCGGACAGGGGGGGUUUGGAGCGGCUCGCCCCUUCCUGCCCGGGGGGAUCGGCGUCCGCGGACCCCAAUGUGGGGGUGGCCGCCGCCGCCUCCUGCGUGAAUCCGCCUUCGUCUCCUCAUCUGCAGGCGAGAGCCAAGCUGCCCCCCAUGGAGUCUCCCCCGAACAGCCACUUACUGGGCAGCCCCGGGAACCUCCUGCCCGGCGGGCUCGGCUCUGGCUUCAGCAGCCUGCAGAGCCCGGAGAUCCCCAGCCCCCAUCACCAGAGCGGGGGCGGCUCCUCCUCGGCGGCUUCCCCUCCUCCUCCGCCGCUGCCCGGCUUCGGCACCCCCUGGUCGGUGCAGACCUCGUCGCCGCCUCCGCAGCAGACGCAGCAGCCUCCGGUCUCCACCGGCGGCGGCGGCGGGCAGAUCAGCGCGAUGCCACCCCCGAGCCCGGAGUCCGAGACCAGCUUCUACCCGGGGAUCCCGUCAUCGAUCAACCCCGCUUUCUUCCAGAGCUUCUCGCCGGUGUCUCCUCACAACCCCUGCGCCGGGCCCUUCAGCAGCCCCUUCUCGGCCGCCGCCCCCCCGCCGCCGCCGCCCCCCCCCCCCCCCCCCCCCCCCCCCCCCCCCCCCCCCCCCCCCCCCCCCCCCCCCCCCCCCCCCCCCCCCCCCCCCCCCCCCCCCCCCCCCCCCCCC